CGUGGGGGGGGAGGCGGGUUCGUGGAAGUGAAGUGGGUAGAGGUUAAAGAAGCAACUCAGAAGUCCGUGGCCUUCAUUAGGUGAACGCUCCACUUCUGCUGGAUUAAGAGAGGCGACGAACGGAUUGAUUUUUAUUAACGUGCAGUGAUUUCCGACAACGCAGGGCUCCACUGCCAAAGGAGUAACUUCAUAAAGCAAGGCUAAAUUCGUGCCGUUAAAAAAAGUGUUCAUUCUGCUUAUAAGUAAGACAGGUUAGAAACUUUAUACACGAUUGCAUAUUAUUUUCAAUAGCGUUUUGGCUGAAUAAACAACUUUGCAACUCCCUAACUUCUCUGAAUGAACGAUUUUCGGUUCAACGUGGAUCCCACAACUCUACCAAUUUCGAAAUUCAGCGAUUUUAAAUUAAAAUCUCACGUGGUGAUAAGUAGAACAUUGAAUUCUGGGAAAUGGUUCAGGUAUGGAAUGAACGUAAUAUGACUUACCGCAAUAGUGCUGCUAGUCCUCGAUCCAAGGUGCAGCUGCUGACGGGGUCUUUAUAAAGAGCCAAGACUGCAAAAAAAGAAAGAAAAAGAGAAACCUUCGAUCAAGUAAAUCGUUACAAAAUCGAAUUCGUUGCACACGACGUUUGAAGAAAUCGAGUGUUUUCGAACAAGUGACAAAAGAAGCAUCUAAAAGUGGAGCGUCAGGAAUCAGGAGUAGAUUGUGCAUUAGUAAUAAUGUUUAACAUGGCAGCCUAUUGUACUCGCAUAUAAACAUUAAUUGUCAAUGCUUUAAUUUAUACAUUUAUAUGUUACAUGUACAUUGGUCUGCUCACCCAACCAGCAUUUUGACUCUUUUAAUUGAAAUAACAUGCUGUGUAUGUUUUUGAAAUUGCACUUGAAAUGUUGUUUCUGCUUAAUCAUUGUAUUUCGUGCAUCUUUGUGGAAUUCUUGCCAAAAGAGGUCAAUAAAUUAAAUAUCUUUGCCACCCUAAA